AUCCCCUGGCAAUGGGCAAAGAGACACCCUGUUGGUGGUGGUUCUCUUAUAUUAGUCAGUGGCAGAGCAGAUUUAAGGCCUAUGUUCAUCCUACCUUGAUGCUUGGCUUGUUGGCCAAAGCUGUCUUAUGCCUAAGACUCAUAA